rnacentral:rRNA from 1 species
UGGGGAAUCUUGGACAAUGGGCGCAAGCCUGAUCCAGCCAUGCCGCGUGGAUGAUGAAGGCCUUAGGGUUGUAAAAUCCUUUCGCCGAGGACGAUAAUGACGGUACUCGGAGAAGAAGCUCCGGCUAACUUCGUGCCAGCAGCCGCGGUAAUACGAAGGGGGCUAGCGUUGUUCGGAUUUACUGGGCGUAAAGCGCGUGUAGGCGGGUUGGAAAGUUGGGGUGAAAUCCCGAGGCUCAACCUCGGAACUGCCUCCAAAACUUCCAGCCUGGACUCAAGUAGAGGCAAGUGGAAUUGCGAGUGUAGAGGUGAAAUUCGUAGAUAUUCGCAGGGAACACCAGUGGCGAAGGCGACUUGCUGGACUUGUAGUGACGCUGAGACGCGAAAGCGUGGGGAGCAAACAGGAUUAGAUACCCUAGUAGUCCCUGAGCGGGCUGGCAAGGCGCAU